ensembl:lncRNA HERC2P3 HERC2 pseudogene 3
AGCCAGUGGAUGUGGAAAAGAGAAAGUGCCUACUAAAACAGUUGGAGAGAGCAGAGGUUCGCCUGGAAGGGAUAGAUACAAUUUUAAAAUUGUAUCUGGUGAGCAAGAAUUUCUUACUUCCAUCUGUGCCGUAUGCGAUGUUUUGUGGAUGGCAAAGACUUAUUCCUGAGGGAAUCGAUAUAGGGGAACCUCUUACUGAUUGUUUAAAGGAUGUUGAUUUGAUCCCGCCUUUUAAUCGGAUGCUGCUGGAAGUCACCUUUGGCAAGCUGUACGCUUGGGCUGUUCAGAACAUUCGAAAUGUUUUGGUGGAUGCCAGUGCCAAAUUUAAAGAGCUUGGUAUCCAGCCGGUUCCCCUGCAAACCAUCACCAAUGAGAACCCAUCGGGACCGAGCUUGGGGACCAUCCCGCAAGCCCACUUCCUCCUGGUGAUGCUCAGCAUGCUCACCCUGCAGCACAGCGCAAACAACCUUGACCUCCUGCUCAAUUCCGGCACGCUGGCCCUCGCUCAGACGGCACUGCGCCUGAUUGGCCCCAGUUGUGACAGCGUUGAGGAAGAUAUGAAUGCUUCUGCUCAAGGUGCUUCUGCCACAGUUUUGGAAGAAACAAGGAAGGAAACGGCUCCUGUGCAGCUCCCUGUUUCAGGGCCAGAACUGGCUGCCAUGAUGAAGAUUGGAACAAGGGUCAUGAGAGGUGUGGACUGGAAAUGGGGCGAUCAGGAUAGGCCUCCUCCAGGCCUAGGCCGAGUGAUUGGUGAGCUGGGAGAGGACGGGUGGAUAAGAGUCCAGUGGGACACAGGCAGCACCAACUCCUACAGGAUGGGGAAAGAAGGAAAUUACGACCUCAAGCUGGCAGAGCUGCCAGCCCCUGCACAGCCCUCAGCAGAGGAUUCGGACACAGAGGACGACUCUGAAGCCGAACAAACUGAAAGGAACAUUCACCCCACUGCAAUGAUGUUUACCAGCACUAUUAACUUACUGCAGACUCUUUGUCUGUCUGCUGGAGUUCAUGCUGAGAUCAUGCAGAGUGAAGCCACCAAGACUUUAUGCGGACUGCUGCAAAUGCUGGUGUACAGGGAGCAACACCGGAGCUGGUGCACGCUGGGGUUUGUGCAGAGCAUCGCUCUCACGCUGCAGGUGUGCGGCACCCUCAGCUCCCUGCAGUGGAUCACGCUGCUCAUGAAGGUCGUGGAAGGGCACGCACCCUUCACUGCCACCUCGCUGCAGAGGCAGAUCUUAGCUGUGCAUUUGUUGCAAGCAGUCCUUCCGUCAUGGGACAAGACCGAAAGGGCGAGGGACAUGAAAUGCCUCAUGGAGAAGCUGUUUGACUUCUUGGGGAGCUUGCUCACUAUGUGCUCCUCUGACGUGCCGUUACUCAGAGAGUCCACGCUGAGGCGGCGCAGGGUGUGCCCGCAGGCCUCGCUGACUGCCACCCACAGCAGCACACUGGCGGAGGAGGUGGUGGCACUGCUGCACACGCUGCACUCCCUGACUCAGUGGAAUGGGCUCAUCAACAAGUACAUCAACUCCCAGCUCCGCUCCAUCACCCACAGCUUUGCGGGAAGGCCUUCCAAAGGGGCCCAGUUAGAGGACUACUUCCCUGAUUCCGAGAACCCUGAAGUGGGGGGCCUCAUGGCGGUCCUGGCUGUGGUUGGAGGCAUCGAUGGUCGCCUGUGCCUGGGCGGCCAAGUUGUGCACGAUGACUUUGGAGAAGUCACCAUGACUCGCAUCACCCUGAAGGGCAAAAUCACCGUGCAGUUCUCUGACAUGCGGACGUGUCACGUUUGCCCAUUGAAUCAGCUGAAACCACUCCCUGCCGUGGCCUUUAAUGUGAACAACCUGCCCUUCACAGAGCCCAUGCUGUCUGUCUGGGCUCAGUUGGUGAACCUCGCUGGAAGCAAGUUAGAAAAGCACAAAAUAAAGAAAUCGACUAAACAGGCCUUUGCAGGACAAGUGGACCUGGACCUGCUGCGGUGCCAGCAGUUGAAGCUAUACAUCCUGAAAGCAGGUCGGGCGCUGUUCUCCCACCAGGAUAAACUGCGGCAGAUCCUGUCUCAGCCAGCUGUUCAGGAGACUGGAACUGUUCACACAGAUGAUGGAGCAGUGGUAUCACCUGACCUUGGGGACAUGUCUCCUGAAGGGCCGCAGCCCCCCAUGAUCCUCUUGCAGCAGCUGCUGGCCUCGGCCACCCAGCCGUCUCCUGUGAAGGCCAUAUUUGAUAAACAGGAACUUGAGGAAAGAAUGUCCAGAUGUUGUUUUUGGAGAAGAAGAACUACAAAGUUAGAGCAAAUACUCUUAUUUAUAAGAAGAAUGAACUCAGUGUGUGAGAAGGAGAAUACAAAUGCAACAGCCUCAAAUUAGCAGUGGAUGCCUACUGGGCUUCUGCAACCGCUUUCCACGGGUUCCACCAGAUGGCUAGCUGGUAAUGACCCAGACACCUCUGAGUAAACUCCCAGAAAGCCUGACAAAUAUGUUGCAAACUUAGCCAUAUGUAGAGUGGCUACACCACAUUUGCAACGCUCUCUUAACAGCAUGACCUUCUUUAAUAGUGAUCACUUCCAUUUUUAGGCCCUUUAUGCAUUACUUUUGUCAUUUUAUAUUGCUUCUUUUUUUCUGAUCCUUGCAAAAACCCUGCCAAGAAAGCAAGAAAAUAUGUUUCCCCCUCAGGACCUGGACAACAUCAGAUAGAAUGUGUCACAUAAAUAUGUAUUCAUAAUGAAAGUUUUAUAGGUAUUAAAAAUGAAAGCUCAAAAUGGCUAGGUGAUAUUCCUCAAUUCAUAUGAACAUAGAUCUCUUACCUUUUUUCUUGAUAUUAUAUUGAAUAUGUAAAGAUAUUUGAAAUAGUUUAUAUAUGAGUAAUUAAACCAGCUCAUCUUUUUCUCUGUUAUCUUCUUUAUUGCUUUAAAUCUUACAAACCCGUUUACCAACCAAAACUAAAGAACCAACUAUAUUGCUUUAAAUUGUAAAAAUAUGUAAGUAUCCACACAUAGACAUACAGGAGUUAGAAUCCCAAAGGGAAAUACUUUUUACCAGACAUAGAGGGAACCAGAAUAGACAUAAAGCCAUAAGGACACCCUGAGUGUCAAAAAGAGAUCUCAGAGUUCUCUACAGUUUUAUUACUGUUUUUAGAUUUUCACUCAUUCAUAACAUUAUAUUGGUGGCAACCAUUUAGUCCAUUUAAUUAUGCCCCCAAUCUGUCACAGUUGAGACAAAAGUUGACCAACCUAGUAUAAUCAGAAAACUUAUUCUUGGAGUUUGAAGCAAAAAUUAGAUUAAAAUGUUUUUGGAUGUGACUGGAUCAUGUUAGUGGUUAUCUACAGGGCACAAAGUCCAGCCUUCAGAAAGAAAGUAUAGAAAAAAUAGAUAAAACUCUUAGAGGAUAGAAGGAGAAAAAAAACAGAGAGAGAAUAUUGAUUAAUUUUCUCUUAGUUCGUUCCAGAAAUUUUCUCAGACCAAGUUGUACUUCAAUCUUUUGGUUCCUUUAGUCACCACCCUCUUCUUUUUUGAUUUUUCCAAUUUGUGUUAACACUUGCCUGUAUUGAUCUCUUGCAUUUGCAGCCACAUGAAUGUGAAAUCCAUAAGGGCAGAGAGUUUUGCUGGUUUUGUUCACUAUCAUGUCCCUUAACACCUAAAAUAAUGCUUAGCAUGUAGAAAUCUCUCAAUAAGUAGCUUUUGCAUGAAUGAAUGAAUUAAAUUAAAUGAAUGAAAGAACAAAAGAAUAUUAACUAAAUAAAGCCAAGGGUCAGGAAUUAAACAUAUCACAAACAUGCUUGGAAUCUUUUACUACAUAAUUGCCUGCAGAAUAUCAUUACUAUACAGUAACACCUAGAGAACAUCCGUAAAUUAAAUAGUUUGAUUUACUGAAAGGACUAAUUUUAUAUGAGCAAAAAUGACUUUAGUAAUUUUCAGAUAAGCAUUUGUCAAACGUAUAAUCUUGAAACUAUUUUCUUUAUCUCUCCUUUCUAUAAAUAUAAUGAACAAGUAUUUAAUAAAAGACUUCUUGUUUGUGACACAAUUUUAAAUGUUUUCAUCAUUCAUUAAUGUUUUUAAGAAUGUCUCUAAGCACCAAUAUGUUUCAGAGCCUGUAGUAGUCAUGAAGGUAAAAUAGUAUUUCACAUGCUGGCUUUCUCUCUGCUGCACAUGGUCUGGCUUAUACAUCUUCGUUAUGCAAAACUCAUCUCCUUCACUGACCUUCAUAGGAGACAACUGCCCCAAGAAUAUUGUUAUAUGUGUAAUUUUACUAAAUGCUUACAACAUAGUUGAGAGGUUUCUUCCUUUCUCUCUCUCAUGUACUCUCUCUCUCUCUCUCUCUCUCUCACACACACACACACACACACACCAUAUAACAUACUCCACCUAUGCAUAUAUACACAUACACCACAGAUAAUUCACCACAGUCACACCACUCACACUCAUCACACCCACACCACACAUCACCUACCACACAUUACACUACACACAUAUGCACACAUACCAGACAAACCACACCGCCCCAAGCACACAUCUCAUAUAUAAAAAUCAUACCACACACACACACACACACACACACACACACACACACACACAAGAUAAUGCACAUUUUUGUUUUUGAGGCUCUCUGCUCAGUGCCCUGCUAGUUUUGUCUCCCCCACAGCAGCCAGCAGUGCACGAUGUCUUCCUCUAUUCCGGGGCUGGUAAGUACCUGCUCUUUUUUUACAGAGAACAUUUUACAAAUGUCACAUUCUUUAAACUUCUAUCUAUCUCAUUUUGGCACUAAACAACAAAAUGCUCCCCUCCACACACAUGCACCAGUUAAGAGGACUCAUGUGUUUCACAUUUUGUACAGAGAAAUGGGGUAAGACAAAAUAACAACAAAAAUGUACCCAAAAUCACAGGGCACAGUGGCUCACACCUGUAAUUCCAGCACUUUGGGGGGCCAAGACAGGUGGAUCAGUUGAGGUCAAGAGUAGUCUGAGACCAGCCUGGCCAACAUGGCGAAACCUCAUCUCUACUAAAAAUACAAAAAUUAGCUGAGUGUGGUGGCACAGGCCUGUAAUCCUAGCUACUCGGGAGGCUGAUCCUGGAGAAUUGCUUGAACCUGAGAGGUGGAGGUUGCAGUGAGCCGACAUCCUGCCACCGCCCUCCAGCCUGGGCAACAAAGUGAGACUCUGUCCAAAAAAAAAAAAAAAAAAUCUGCCCAAAGUCUUACAGAAUGCUUCCCUUUCUUCCGAGGAGUUUUGGAAGACUAUGUGUGUGUGUGUAUAUAUAUAUAUAUAUGGAGAGAGAGAGAAAGAGAGAGACUCUAAAAUAAAAAGAAGAAAGCAUAUGAUUCUAUGAACUUUCAGAAAAUGAAAUAAGUAACUCUUUAGAAUCUGGUCCAAUCAGUGAGGUCCUUACAGACCAGCAAUCUGGACCAAAGGCUAAAAUAUGUCAUAAAAAUAAAUAAGGUUGUGAGUCAGUUUGUCCAGAUCUUCACAGAAAGAGGAAACAGAACAUGAGGAUUUCCAGAGGUGCAAAGCAUAAGGUAAUUUUUAAGGAUUCAGACAAUAUUCAGUAUGACUGGCAUAAGGUUUGUGUAGGAGUCUAACCAGGGGUGAAGCUAGAGAUCUAAGUAGGAGACCACAUCAUUAAGCAUCUUUACAAUCAUUAUAAGGGCAUUCUUAAUAUUCACACAAAGGCAAUUGGAACCCACUUAAAAUCAUGUCACUCCCCUUCCAAUUCUUCUGAUCCUCCAAUAUUGUGAUUGGUUCUUCAUUUUCUGCUCACUUGACCUCUUUCCACCAUCUUGCCACCCCUUCCUUUGAAUGGCAGAUAGGUUAAAUAGAUAGCUUACAUUUUAAAUCUUUUGGUGCAUUAUUUUCUGCAUAGUGCUUUGCUGGGGUGAUAUAUUUCCCCCUGUUAUUUCAAGAUUCAGAUUUUAGUCAUUUCUGAUUUUAAAAAGAAUGAUAUCUCACUCCAUAACCUAUAUUUAAAACUAAAAAUAAACGUAUUUUUACCAUUGUAUAAAAACCUUCUAAAAA